rnacentral:lncRNA from 1 species
UAUCUUAUAUAUAUCCCCUUCAUCUGAAUUAUCUAUCGUUUUAUUUUUUAAAUACAUAAUGUUUACUACAUAUAUAGAUAUACAUUACGAUGUGCCUAUAAAAUUCUAUAUGUGUAUAACAAAGGCUACGCAUAUCUAAAGAAAAAAAAUAAAACAACCUAUAAUUUGCAAUUGGAUUUGCUUGUUAAGACUCUUUCUCACUGGCAAAAUAUAUCAUACAAGGAGAGAAAAAAAAACCUAGCAUAUCUGAGGGGG